CCAUUAUCUUUUCGAUCCCUAACCCUAGGCACAUCCACAUCCUCCUCCAUCCCGCCGCCGCACUCUUCCUUUCUCUCCUCCAUCGCGCCGCCGCCCCUACCACUCUUCCAUCGCCCCAAUCAACGACUCAUUCAUCCCCUUCCACAUCCCUACCUCCUGCAGGAGCGAGCAACAAGUUUGUUGCCCUGCUGUCCUCUCCUGUUCUCCCGAUUGGUGUAGCAAGAGCUAAGUAUGCGGUUCAUGGCUACGACGGUUGCGAACGCAGAUCGAACGUGCACCUGCAUCAGCGUCAAAGGUACCUCGCUCAUGAUCUAAUCCACUGCAUCGAGGACGUGCAUGUUGAUUGUCGCUGCCGGCAACCGCGCCUCAAGUGGACCUACCAGGCGUUCACGGGGCAGCCAUGUCAUCACGCGGCGGCGCCUAGGUCCUCCACCACAUGUCGAUGACGUUAAGUCUUUGCCCUACAGGUCGACGAUAGGGCGCGUCUUGGGCAAUUCGCAGCGCAGGACGUCGUCGCGGUCAGGUUCGAGUGGAGAACAGUGGUACAACGCGACGCACUACUAUCUCCUUCCCGAACAUGGCUCGGCCAGAUCUGGUCGCUAAUGGCCAAAGUUUUACCCCUCUCUCUUAGUAUAUUAUAAUAUCCAUUAAUCUGAUUUACCAAUCUGGUUCCCCGUGUCCUCGUGUAUGCAUGCAUGGCAGUUUGUCCCGAACUAGAUGUGGUGGUGGGAGAACUAGUCCGAUGCACGAAAACCAUGAUGUUGCACCGCUGCUAGCGAAGUCGCCACACUGACUUACCAAGACUACAGGGUCUCCACCACACAAUCCAAAUUCUGCUGAUCCAACGUUCUCGGUUGAAUUUGGCAUGUUAGCCUUGAUGGAUUGACUCACUUCAGUUGUCUUUCUGAGAAUCCACAGGUGAACAUCUUGUUCCCAAAAGGUGAAGACUUCAAUCUAUCCACCAAUCAAGUCUUUGAUCUUUCCAUCGAUUCUGAAGAUAAAAGCCUUGGUGUAGAACACAACAAGUCCUAGGUUAAUCAUAAGCAGCUCGCGCAUGAAAUUUCAGUUAGGAUCAAGUUAUUCUAAUUCGUACGUGGGGUAGGUGACAUGUGGUGGUUUGAUCGUGUUGUGAUCAGCAUGUAUUGCAUGUAUCAUUUGUAAUCUAAUGUUACAUGUUCUAAUGUUAUGUGAUGGUUGUAGGUGAAUGAAAUGCUGGAGCAAUCAAUUACUCUCA